CCUACGGGAGGCUGCAGUGGGGAAUAUUGGACAAUGGGGGGAACCCUGAUCCAGCCAUGCCGCGUGUGUGAAGAAGGCCCUCGGGUUGUAAAGCACUUUCAGUGAGGAAGAACGCCUGGUGGUUAAUACCCAUCAGGAAAGACAUCACUCACAGAAGAAGCACCGGCUAACUCCGUGCCAGCAGCCGCGGUAAUACGGAGGGUGCGAGCGUUAAUCGGAAUUACUGGGCGUAAAGCGCGCGUAGGUGGCUUGAUAAGCCGGUUGUGAAAGCCCCGGGCUCAACCUGGGAACGGCAUCCGGAACUGUCAAGCUAGAGUGCAGGAGAGGAAGGUAGAAUUCCCGGUGUAGCGGUGAAAUGCGUAGAGAUCGGGAGGAAUACCAGUGGCGAAGGCGGCCUUCUGGACUGACACUGACACUGGGGUGCGAAAGCGUGGGUAGCAAACAGGAUUAGAUACCCCUGUAGUC
rnacentral:rRNA from 1 species